rnacentral:tRNA from 1 species
GCGGAUGUAGCUCAGCUGGUAGAGCACAACCUUGCCAAGGUUGGGGUCGCGAGUUCGAGCCUCGUCAUCCGCUCCA